rnacentral:rRNA from 1 species
UUAGAAUAUGUUGAAUUGCAGAAUCAGUUGAAUCAUCUAAUCUUUGAACGCACCUUGCGCUCCUUGGUAUUCCGAGGAGCAUGCCUGUUUGAGCGUCAUGA